UUUGUUUUCUUUCAGGAAUGGACUGUUUUAUAUAAUUCACUUUUAUAAUGUUUUCCGAUAUCCUAUUCUGAAAUAUUCAUGUACGAUUAUUCAAAAUUAAAAUAAGUUUUAUGGUAAAUAGUUCACAUAUUCAAUGGCAUUCCAUUAUUAAUCAGUCUGCAGGCAUUGUCUGAUAUAGCUCAAUCUAUAAGCUUCUAUCUUACACGCGCGCGCACACAGACAAAGGGCGGAGGAUAAGCAUUUCUAGUAUAAGGAUGAAGGACAAGGGCAAAAUUUGGUAAGAACCUACUACCCAAAACAAAUAUGGGCAUUUAAUGUCAAAAAUCACAUAAUUGUUGAUAAAAUAAAUAACAGUCAUAGAGUCUGUUUUAAAUUUAAGAUUUGAUAAAUUGUUUCAAAGAGAUGACUUGAAUUCAAUAUGACCUGCAUUGAUGCACUGUAAUAAAUUAAGAAAACUGGAUAAAAGGAUAUAAACAAUUUAUAAUUGGAAAUGAAGCACAUGAGAUGAGGACAUGUCAGGGAAUCACACGUGAUCUCUCUUGGGUCUCUCUUUUUAAAAUGUAUACUAGAAAAGAACAUUUCAAAGAUUUUAGGUUUGCAUGAGUUUUAAACAACUAAAUUUCUCCAGUAGAAGCAACUUAAAAGUUUUCUUCACUCCUUGAAGUGCUGAUAGAAAUCAUGACUUCUCACAAGGGAAACGAAAUUUUCUGCCUCAGCUCAGCUCAAUUUGGGAAUUGAAAAUAACUCUGUCCAUAAUUGCUUAUUACCAUUGGCCUUGCCUUUCUAGAUUAUUGGCUCAUGGAAAGUGGGAGCGGCCAUCCACAGCAGCACAAAUGAAGCAAAUGUGGCAAGUGAUAAGCUUUGUUCUCGUUUUCUAUUUUGUAACUUCUAAUUCGAGCACGGAAAGGAACAUUGUGAGAUAAGUUUUACAGAAGGAAAUCCUUGGUUUACUUUAAGAUUAUUCAGUGGGUAAAAAUAAGUGCUUUGCUUUGCAGAAGCAGAAAUAGAGAAAUGGCUUCGGGGUUUAUAAUGUUUUAGAGUUUAUGCUGAUUGUAUGUACUGUUGACUGUUGAUAAAAUUGAUGUGGAUUUCGUGGAUAGAAUUUAUAUUAACUUUAACAUGAGUGCUAGGAAAAUAUAAAGGUUCGAAGAGUUCUGUGGUUUUGCUGAAGUUCAUUACCAUUAGCUAUUAAUGACAGAAGGACCAGUAGCUCUUCCUCUUGCUAAUAAUUCUGAAUCAUUUUAAUCACUGUAGACAUUCAAAGGGGAGAUAAUAUAUUUUUAAAGUGAGACACUGGGGGUCAUUACAUAAAGGGGAUGGAUGGUUUACAUAGUGGAAGAUGCUCUCAACACAAGAAAUGUUCCUCUCGUCCCAGGUCUCUCUGUGGAAGAAUCUGGCACAAGGGUAACUUUCCUAAUCUUCCAACUCACCCCACAGGAUCCAUGACUUCUCCAUUUCUCCCCAUAGAGGAUAAAGAAUUAUCAUAUGAUUGGAGGAGGGGAUCAUUUUUAUUGAGGAGGGAAAAAACCUACAAAAUCUGCAAGUCUGUAAUGUAACCUCCAUUUGUCCUCUGGAUGCUACAAGGAAGCCCACUUCCUACAUGUGUCUGGUGAGAACCACACCUUUUUGUUUGUGGCUGCAACCAUCUUGACAUGGGGUUGCGGUGAGGGGCUGAGGAAAGGCUGUUAGCACUGAUGGUGACAGAUGUAAAUCUGCAUUCUCUAGCUGGCUUCAGUGAAAAUAUCUAAUGUUUUGAGUCUGAGUUUUUUCUUCAGUAUCUUAAUUAUCAGUUGGCCUCGAUUUUUCCAAAGACAGAAAUGCUAUUUAUGUGGCCCUCACAUCCUCAUGUGUAAAGAUAGUCCUCAAAAUUCUUAUUGCUGUUUUUCAGAGUUCCCACUGUGGCUCAGUGGGUUAAAAACCCAAUGUAGUGUCCAUGAGGAUGUGGGUUCAAUCCUUGGCCUCGCUCAGUUAAGAAUCUGACAUUAUGGUGUAGGCUGGCAGCUGCAGCUCCAAUUUGACCCCUAGCCCGGAAACUUCCAUAUGCCACAUGUGUGGCCAUAAAAAGAAAAAAAAAAUUCAUAUUGCACCUUUUGUGUCUAAAAGGGGGAAAAAAAGAUAUGACUGUAGGAGUGUUCAUAUAUUCAGCAAUUUUACUUAUCAGAAAAUUCCUCAUGGGCUUUUAGCAAUGUUAAACUAUUUUUUACACAAAAAUUUAAUCAAAUGUGCCAUGAAACUACCAUCUUGUAUUUUAAGAAUAAAAACAGUUUAAUUAAUUCCAUGGUAUGGAACACUGUGUAAAAAGUGGACACACCAAACGUCGAACAAGACAGUCUGUUUAGUGAAGGAAGAGUGAACCUCCACUAUUUUAUCUUAAAGUGAAGCGAUUAUGAUUGACUAAUACAUGACUUCACCCAUGUAUUCUCAGUUAUUCCAUUUGUGAGAUGUCCUUGACUGGUACAAGUGAAGAAAGGGUGAGAGAUGAAAAAAUUGGGGGUUAUUACAGGGAUGUCUUCCCAGAAAUAAAAUUCAACUUUUAUAGCAAGACAAGAAGAAUUUAAACAUAAAGUUCCUCUGCUCUUUGACCUCCACUCUCUCCCACUGUGCCUUGUGCAUCUGCAUUGUGCAUGCAUGGACCAAAACUCCCCCAUUGGCAGAAACACCUGCUCAACCAUAAAAAGCAAGGUUCUCCCACAUCAACAAUACCACUCCUUAAAGUCAACACUCCUUGAUUUUGUAAAGGGGCCGCAAUGACCCACCACUUGUACUUAACAGAGCUGGAUUGUGCAGACUGUCGUUAAGACAUAAUUGAAUGCAUAGUACUCUGUCCCCAAAAUCUUACAUAACUGGGCCUUGAGUCUCACAAGCAGAACACUUCUCAGAGUUUUCUGAGAUGUUCUUCCAGGUUAAAAUCCUCAAUUUGGCCUGAACAAAUUUCCCAAUUCUCUCUUAGAUCGACUGAUUCAUUUUUGUCAACUCUUUUCUCUACCCUUAGUUUUUGAACUAUGAUUAUGCAUUACUUUUUUUUUUUUUUGCUUUUCUUUUUUCUUUACUUUUCAGAGCCAUACCUGCAGUAUAUGGAAGUUCCAGGGCUAGGGGCUGAAUCUGAGCUGCCGCUGGCAGCCUACACCAUAGCCACAGCAACACAGGAUCUGAGCCACAUCUGCUACCUACACCACAAGUCACAGCAAUGCUAGAUCAUUUACCCACUGAGUGAGGCCAGGGGUCAAACCCAUUUCGCCAGGGUUACUAGUCGGGUUCUUAACUCACCAAGCCACAACAGGAACUUCUGAUUAUGUAUUACUUUUAAAGCAUAUUUAUUUGGGACGUGUUUCCAGUUAUAGACCGUAUUUUAAAUGUGAAGAAAUACACACAAAAUAGACACAUGCAAGGAAAGUAGACUGAAGAGAAAAAUACCAAGAACACGGUAAAAAGGAAAAGGAAAGAUAAAUGAUAGGCCUAACACUUGUCCUGCUUCUGGAAUUUAAAUCUGGACGAUUGUUACAUUUUGUUUCAUUUAACAAAAUGAAACCUCUAACACAGAAUUUGGUAUCUUGAAUUCUGCAAGUAAUAAAACCAAGAAAAUGUAAAACGGACUUAGGGAAGGCCUGGACUAUGCGUCAUGAGGAUGUGAACAAGGGGAACUAAAAAUCGGUGAGCUCUCUGAUUCUGAAUUUGGUCUAAAGUAUUCAGUUCUGGGCUAUGGGGCAGAGCUGACUUAGAUGGGUUAGUUAGUACAAUGGGAAGAGAAUAACUUGGAGCUGGGAGAGUAGGGUACUGGCCUGGUGGCCUUCAGUGCAGGUCUGACUAGGAGGCUCGACGUCAGCCUGAGGUUGGUGGAGCACAAGCAAAGGGGAGGGCAUGCUUUGCAGAGUCAGGCACUUCUGCUGUCCUCAAUUUCAGUUGACGGAGGGUCAUUGUGAAAGGCUGACAGAUAAUGCUCCUGAACUGCAAAUGAAAUGUUAUCCACCUGAUGUCUGUGAAAUGGCAGCCUUAGCAGGAUGCAAAGCUCCUAUUACAGGCCUUUGCAAAAACCUCCCCUUUAGAGUCACCUGCUAGUCAGAGGCCAGCCCAACCUGCUGCUGAAAUGAUUGUUUUCAUCACUUACGCCUCUUGUUUAAAUUACUCUGUAAAGCUCAGGCAAUUAAGCAAAAAGGCUUUGGGAUUUUUGCAGAGCAGAGAAACCAUCAGAUAAAAGAGAAGCUUUUAAAGACGUGCCUAAGAUAU
rnacentral:lncRNA from 1 species